rnacentral:lncRNA from 1 species
CUUCUCGGGAUCGCCGAGCCUAGUCUGGGUCUGGAUUCCAGGAGAGGCGUCCCCAUCCUACGCUUGAAGGCAGAGCAAGGACGCUGCUCCAAAACACCCGGUUCAUCAGCUGAGCGGAAGCUGCAGGAAUCUACCCAAAUCCACCAGCGGCUGCUUUUGCCUCCCAGAAGCCGGGGCUAUCCGAGGUGGUUUGGAAAUGGCAUCGCCUAUGGCCAAGAUCGAGGGUUCUGCGGACAGAGAGGAGCCCUGGGUUCGCUUUCUGCCUCAUCCAGCUAGGUGACCUUGGGCAAGGUACUUAAAUUUCCAUGUGCCUUGUUUUCCUCAUCUUUAAGAUGGAGAGAAUGCUCCCGACCUUGACGGAUUGGCUCGAGGAUUACACUAGAACAGGCAGCCUAGGUUGGGAUUCUGGCAUUGACAUCAGCUAGUUGUGUGCCCUGGGGCAGGUUACUUAACCUCUCUGCCCUAGUUUCCUGAAAAAUAGGGAGCAUAACGGUACUUACCUCCGAGGGUUGUUGCCUGCAAAGCGCUUAACACUGCGAUGGAAGAGUAAGCGCUUAAUAAACUGUGGCUAUUAUGACUGUUGUCAUUAUUGUCCUUAAGAGCACUGAGCACAGGAGCAGAGGUCUAUCGGGCUGGUUAUUAUUAUUAUGUUUCUCGAGUAUGGUUAUUUCUUUCCCGGAAUUGUUAAAAUUAUUAUUAUUAUUAUUCACAAACUCGAGUCCUUAUCAGUAGCUGAAGGACAAACAGUCUUCCCGAAUUAGAAUCCCGGGAGGAGGGCCAAGGACGCGGCGGCGGGCUGCAAGGACCGGGACCUGCGGGGAGGAAACCCGCGCCCGGGUUAGCGCGCGUCAGAGCCUCGGUGACGUCUCUAGGCCCUCGGGCUAGGGAGGCGCGGCCUGCGCACGCCAGGCGUCUGCAGUGGCCCGGGACGGCCGGGUGGUACUCCAGCUACGUGGAUGCCCGGCUGGGAAAAGCCUCCCUGGGUCAGACCCUGCGCCUGCCGCUGCGGGGUGCACCCGAGGCUCCGACCGCAGCCUGGCCGGGAGGACGGAGGUGCCAACCCCUGCUCCGGUGUCCGGGCUCCGCCCAGCCUGGCGCACCGCUACCCGCGCGGAGGCUGCUCUGCAUCAACAUAAUGCUCCCCAUCCCUGCAUCCUCCCGGAACCCAUUCCUCAUCAUCCCUCAGGGCCUCAGCUCAGAUUCUCCUCCCUUGGUGCUCGCUCUGACAGACUCCUCCUCUGUCUCUGGCGCCUCCCACUCGCCCGCAGCGCCCGGAGCACGCCCCGCAAGUCCACUUGGUUUGCUACGCACGCAUCUCCAACUCGCUGCAUCUUGUCCCCGUUACUCUCCGUCGCAGUGAAGGUGACACCACCCACCCGAUCACUCGCGAUGCGUCCUGGAUGCUUCUACCUGCAGUGGUUACUACAGUCUACGCUACUCCCUCUGUGACCUUGUGAAUUACCCUCACUCCGUUGGGUAUUAACAUCUUCCUCUCCAAGGUCUCCCGAGUACAUCCUCCUGUAUUUCGAGCCCCGUACACCCCUAUUGCCCAAGCCUCGCAGCUUCUGUGGAGAAGCCUGGCGCUCCAGGCCCUCCCCAUCUUCCUGAGCAAGCAGGUCUGCCAUUUUCUAACACCUCAUAAACUAAUCCCAGUUUAGACCCUGCCUGAGUAGCACUAUUUAAGUUGUUCAGUGUUUACUCCCUCUCCGAUUACCUUUCCUUAUUCUGCUGAACUCCAGAGGGAGUCUCUUCUUCAAGGGUGUCCCAUCCCCCGUUCUACUAUCUGGCGGUGUGAAAUGUUUCUGGACUACAGGACCUUUCUAGGUGGCCAAAGGUCUGUGCCCCGCCCCCUUCUGCUCCCUUCUUCCCAUAGCUGGGUUCCUUCUACCUAGAACACCUUUUUUCUUUCCCUCAUCCCUCCUCCACCCUAAGGACCCCCAGCCUUCCCGAUGUACCCAACCCAACCCAACCUCGACUCAAUCAAAUAUUCCUUUGAAAGGUUAAAGGCCAAUUUAAGAAAUCUGAACCUUACAAAAACUGCAUUUAAAAAAAUUGCAUUUAAAAAUCUGAAGCUUACAAAAACUGCUUGUCUGUAUCACAUGCUCUCUUUCCUUACUUAAGGUUUCCUCUACUCAAUCCAGAGUUUCUUAAAAGGGCACGGAUCCUUUGGAUCUGGGUGGAAUUCUUUGAACCAAUUUCUAUCCCUUCCCAGAGGAAUCACGUUGGGAAGCACGUUGGGGCUUCUUCAUUCCCAGCACACGCUUUUAUGUUUUUACUCCAUAUCUUGGUGCCUAUAGACACUUAAUGGAAUCAUCUAAAAUUACUUUAAACGUUGAAGAGACGCUAUUAGACUGAAUAUAUAAUCGUGUAACUUGAUUUUUUUUAAAAACUAGGCAGCAUGAACCCACAUUAAUGUACGUAUUUCUUGAUCAUACUUUUUCAGUGCUGACGGGGGACCCGUUAUGAAUUCAGCACAUUUUAUUUUUCCCGUCUUCUAGAAGAUAUUUAGCUCAUUUUCACUUUGUUUUUCUGUUAGAAACAAUGCUAUAAUAGCUUUUUUAAAAAUCUCAUUCCCGAGUUUGAAAGCAGAGUUUGGGUAGAUACUUGGGUGCAGAAUUGCGGGACUCAGGACGCAGAACCUGGCAGCGUUGUUGGGCAUGGCUGAAUGGGUUUUAAGUGGUUGUACUAAUUCACAGUUCCAUUCGUUAUGUGAGAGUUCCCCGUGUUCUACAUCCCCAGCACUUGCUAAUGUCAAACUUUAAAAUUGUUGCCAAACCCAUGAGUGUGAAAUGGCAUUUCAAUGUUUUAAUUUGCAGUUCCCUGCUUACAAGUGAGAGAGAUAGGAACAUACUCUCUUUGUUUAUUGGCCAUUUGCCUCUCCUCCUUUUUAAAUUGGCCAUUGGUUUAUUUGACAGUGCAUCUUUUGGUCAUGUCCUAUGUGUGGGAGUUCUUUAUAUAUUCUGGAUACUAAUCCUUUGUCAGUCUGUGGCCCAUCUGGUGUCUUUUAUUCCACUCAAUUGCAAUUCUAAAUUGAUACGAUUAUUUGGUGAAUGUCUGAUUUUCCUCUUAAGCAAUAAGUCCAUGAGAAGACGACUGUCCCUUGUAAUAAGUGCAAUAUUUAAUACGUACCAGGAAGUUAAUAAAUACUACUGACUGAAAUGUGUUGAUAAUUGACAUUAUUAUUUUUAAUUAUUGAGUUUUCUCUCCUUCAAGCUUUUUUUUCUCAACUUCUCGAGAGUAGGAAUCUGGUGAUAUUUUAUUUCUUCACGUCUCCAGUGCGGAUUGCACCACAAUGCUUUGAUCAUAGAGCAUGUGCCCAAUGAUUGUUAAGUUCCUUUGUGGGUUUUCUUUUUAUUCCCCCCUCUCAUUCUUUUCAGGUCACCCUCUAUCUCUGAGCUCAAUUUAGCUCUGCAAAUGGAAUAGAUAAUAAAGAAUCUGCUGCUGC